rnacentral:rRNA from 1 species
UACGGAGGGGACUAGCGUUGUUCGGAAUUACUGGGCGUAAAGCGCACGUAGGCGGAUUUGUAAGUCAGGGGUGAAAUCCCGGGGCUCAACCUCGGAACUGCCUUUGAUACUGCAAAUCUCGAGUCCGGAAGAGGUGAGUGGAAUUCCUAGUGUAGAGGUGAAAUUCGUAGAUAUUAGGAAGAACACCAGUGGCGAAGGCGGCUCACUGGUCCGGUACUGACACUCAAGUGCGAAAGCGUGGGGAGCAAACAGG